rnacentral:rRNA from 1 species
AGUCGUUGAUUUCACACUGCCGAGAAAAGCCUCUAGAUAGAAAAUAGGUGCCCGUACCGCAAACCGACACAGGUAGUCAAGAUGAGAAUUCUAAGGUGAGCGAGCGAACUCUCGUUAAGGAACUCGGCAAAAUGACCCCGUAACUUCGGGAGAAGGGGUGCUCUUUAGGGUUAACGCCCAGAAGAGCCGCAGUGAAUAGGCCCAAGCGACUGUUUAUCAAAAACACAGGUCUCUGCUAAACCGUAAGGUGAUGUAUAGGGGCUGACGCCUGCCCGGUGCUGGAAGGUUAAGAGGAGUGGUUAGCUUCUGCGAAGCUACGAAUCGAAGCCCCAGUAAACGGCGGCCGUAACUAUAACGGUCCUAAGGUAGCGAAAUUCCUUGUCGGGUAAGUUCCGACCCGCACGAAAGGCGUAACGAUUUGGGCACUGUCUCAACGAGAGACUCGGUGAAAUCAUAGUACCUGUGAAGAUGCAGGUUACCCGCGACAGGACGGAAAGACCCCGUGGAGCUUUACUGUAGCC